CUUCGGGUCUAGCGGCGGACGGGUGAGUAACGCGUGGGAACGUGCCCUUCUCUACGGAAUAGCCCCGGGAAACUGGGAGUAAUACCGUAUACGCCCUUUGGGGGAAAGAUUUAUCGGAGAAGGAUCGGCCCGCGUUGGAUUAGGUAGUUGGUGGGGUAAUGGCCCACCAAGCCGACGAUCCAUAGCUGGUUUGAGAGGAUGAUCAGCCACACUGGGACUGAGACACGGCCCAGACUCCUACGGGAGGCAGCAGUGGGGAAUCUUAGACAAUGGGGGCAACCCUGAUCUAGCCAUGCCGCGUGAGUGAUGAAGGCCUUAGGGUUGUAAAGCUCUUUCAGCUGGGAAGAUAAUGACGGUACCAGCAGAAGAAGCCCCGGCUAACUCCGUGCCAGCAGCCGCGGUAAUACGGAGGGGGCUAGCGUUGUUCGGAAUUACUGGGCGUA
rnacentral:rRNA from 1 species